GGGCGCGUAGCUCAGUUGGUUAGAGUGCAUGGUUUACAUCCAUGAGGUCAGAGGUUCGAGACCUCUCGCGCCCACCA
rnacentral:tRNA from 1 species